GGAGAGGUGGCCGAGCGGCUUAAGGCAUCCUCCUGCUAAGAGGAAGCGGGUUUAGUCACCCGUCGAGGGUUCAAAUCCCUCCCUCUCCG
rnacentral:tRNA from 1 species